rnacentral:lncRNA from 1 species
CCCUUGUGCAAGGGGCACAAAACACAGGUUAGAGGUGUUUUUGUUUUAUGGAUCUCUUAGGCACAGUAAGUAAAUCUUAAAGCAUAACUUUAGCUCUUACACUCUCCCAUCCAUUGGCUGAAUAACUUUACCAGGCCUCUGAGGACUGAAGGGAUUUUAAGCAAAUGAAAGGCUUUACCCACCGUGUUCCCUGAGGUGAGGACUCUGAAGACUAAUGAUGCUAUCAGAGAGGCUUUGGCAAAAAUCCUUCAAUCUGAACCUAUUGGGUACAAGCGGCAAGAAUCCCUCAAGGGCUGGCCACUUGACUUUUCUGCUAUGAUGGAUUGUAUCCUGGAACUGAAAGUUAAAAUGGACUCUCUCACUGGAGAAUUAUGCAAAACACUCCCAACUUGAGGCCACACAAUGUGAUUUCCAAUAAUUUGGAGAGAAGUCUGACAACUCAGUAUGUUUGCUGGUCUCUUGUCCCAUGAAGUCUGGCAAUGUGCAGAAACAGAGACAGAAAGUGUGCCAUCUGUGUCCUGGAAUAAAAAUGACAUGGCACUGGGAAGCAGUUGACACAUUAUGGGUGUAAGGGCCAGCA